ensembl:misc_RNA Y_RNA Y RNA
GGCUAGUCUCAGCACUGUAGUGUUUACAACUAAUUGAUUGCAACCAAUUAUAAAUUUCUUUGUUCCUUCUCCACUCCCACUGCUUCACUUGACUAGCCUUAA